rnacentral:rRNA from 1 species
UGGGGAAUUUUGGACAAUGGGCGAAAGCCUGAUCCAGCAAUGCCGCGUGUGUGAAGAAGGCCUUCGGGUUGUAAAGCACUUUUGUCCGGAAAGAAAUCCUUGGCUCUAAUACAGUCGGGGGAUGACGGUACCGGAAGAAUAAGCACCGGCUAACUACGUGCCAGCAGCCGCGGUAAUACGUAGGGUGCAAGCAUUAAUCGGAAUUACUGGGCGUAAAGCGUGCGCAGGCGGUUUGCUAAGACCGAUGUGAAAUCCCCGGGCUCAACCUGGGGACUGCAUUGGUGACUGGCAGGCUAGAGUAUGGCAGAGGGGGGUAGAAUUCCACGUGUAGCAGUGAAAUGCGUAGAGAUGUGGAGGAAUACCGAUGGCGAAGGCAGCCCCCUGGGCCAAUACUGACGCUCAUGCACGGAAGCGUGGGGAGCAAACAGGAUUAGAUACCCUGGUAGUCCACGCCCUAAACGAUGUCAACUAGUUGUUGGGGAUUCAUUUCCUUAGUAACGUAGCUAACGCGUGAAGUUGACCGCCUGGGGAGUACGGUCGCAAGAUUAAAACUCAAAGGAAUUGACGGGGUCAUAGCUGUUUCCU